CGGGAAGUCCUCGAUGUGCCC
rnacentral:rRNA from 1 species